rnacentral:rRNA from 1 species
UACGAAGGGGGCUAGCGUUGCUCGGAAUUACUGGGCGUAAAGCGCACGUAGGCGGAUCUUUAAGUCAGGGGUGAAAUCCUGGAGCUCAACUCCAGAACUGCCUUUGAUACUGAGGACCUUGAGUUCGGGAGAGGUGAGUGGAACUGCGAGUGUAGAGGUGAAAUUCGUAGAUAUUCGCAAGAACACCAGUGGCGAAGGCGGCUCACUGGCCCGAUACUGACGCUGAUGCACGAAAGCGUGGGGAGCAAACAGG